AACUUUUUUAAAGCACUGUGAGCAUCCUGAUGUCCACUAUUGAGGACUUGCAGAACUUAAUGUCUGUGUGCCAAGUUCCACUACUGGAGACGGAGGAAGGUGUGAUAAUAGAGGUGGCAAACAAGCUGCUGACAAUAUUGAAUCAAAUUCAUGAGAGGGCCAGGACCCCUAUGACACAAGGUGCUGAAUAAUUGCCAAUGCGUAAAGAGUCUAACUUUUACCCAUGAUGCUUGCAACACUCUCAGAUGGAGCAUCUGACUUCACCAUUGAAUGCUGCUGUUUGAUGUAAAGGACUUGAAGAUGAAUCCUGCCCCAGAAGUACAGAAAAUGUGUCUGCUGGUGUAUGAGAGCUUCACUUCAAGGUACAGGAAGCGGACUAGAAGUACCAGUCACACAUUAACGAUCUACUCACAGAGAAACCACGUUCCCUGCCAGUUUAAACUGAUGAGGAUAAAAGUUUGAUGUGCAUGUUUGGCAAUUUGUUGUAUCCUUUUAGUGUUCCACUGAACAGGCAUAUAUACGGAGCCAAACAUGAAGAGCUCUAUGAAGGAAGGGUUUUGUUUGAGAAGGACUGGGAGGAGAGAGUAAUGACUUCCAAAGAGACCAUAAAUGCCGGGAUGUCAAAGUUUAGGUCCUUGGUUGAAGGUGGAUCUAAAAUAAACGUGCCCAUCCCCAAACUUUGGCAAAGGUGACCUGUUCCAUCAGCCCUGAGUGCUGGCAAAACAGGACAUCUAUAGCACGAGGCAGCAGAAUAUGUGCGCCCAACUGUGAUAGGAAGACUCAGAAAAAUUCAGCAACUUCAAGCAACUUUGUUUAUCCAAACAGACUGAUGAAAGUAUAUCAGACAGUGUUCUUUGAUUUUUCGUAUUUUAACAUAACAUUUAUGUUGUUGUGUAACCCCGACAGCCCAUUUUGGGGCUCUGCCAUGCAGAUGUUGCUUUUAUGUCGUGGACUCAUUGUAGAACUGUUUGUUCUCGGUAAAAUGUUCAGUUGUAUCAUGCACUACAAAGUUCAAGUCUGUUUGGGUAGAAUGAUUAUUACAACUUUUUAAGUUAAUGCCUUCAUAACUAAAUUUUGAAGGAAUCAAUUUAUAAUAAUGAAUGCCUGAAUAAAGGUGUUCAACUUUUUUUAUUAUUAUAGAUUUCUUAAAUAAUUUAAUCAUUUCAUACUUAUUCAUACACAAAAGUGCAGCUAAUCAAUUCUAUAUUAAAAUGCAUUUUUUCAAUGCUUGAAUAUGUAAUAUACAUUUCUUUAACUACCAGUUGAUAAAUGUAGACUUUGUGUAAACAUUUUUUAACAUAGUUAAAAAAAUAUGUGUAUGCUAUCUGAUUGAACCAGCAGUGCUCAAAAUGAACUUUUAGAAGUCAAUCUGCUCUUUUGUCAACUGGGCACUUAAGCGCACAUUUUGUACUUUCAUGUGACUUUGUAUGUACCCCAGGCUAUACUAUUUUUGCCCUGUCUGUUUGUUUGUUGUUGUUUUUUGCAUCAAACUUAAACAUUUGCCAUGACUUUUGCAAUAUUGAAGAUAGCAACUUGAUAUUUGGCAUACAUGUGUAUCUUAUUGAGCUGCACAUUUUGAGUGAUGAAAGGUCAAGGUCAAAGUCAUCCUUCCAGGUCAAAGAUCAAAUAUAUUGGGGGGGGGAACAUAGUGUUUCACAAAACAUCUUUUUUUUAAUAUUUCAUGCUUUAUAUAUUUCUUACUGCAUGUAUUAUCAUUUAAAAAACUGUUUAUAUCAUUAAUUAAACUAGUUGAACUCAAAUUUAAUAACUUCUAGGAACUAUUGAUCAAUUUGCUGCAAAAUGUGAUCAGAUAAAACAAGAGGGCCAAGAUGGCCCUAGUUCGCUCACCUUUUUAUGCCCCCGGAUUGAUAGAUUGGGCAGGCCCGUACCCAGGCACUGGGCCCAGGGGCCCGGGCCCCCCCAGCUGGCUGUCGAGUUAUAUUUUUUUUUAA